AUUUCCUCUACUGUGUGGUAAAGUCUCAGCAAAGCCUUGGUGGAGCAGAGUAUAGAUAUAAUAGAUACUCCUCAUUUCAGCAUAUUAAAGGAAAACCAAGGAAAAAAAAAGAUGAGUGUUCUCUUUUUCUUUCUAGGUGCUCAUUGGAAGAGAAGUGGGUGUUUGCUUAACGCGGCUGUUUAGCUUUUCCUUUCAUAAUUGUGCAUUGCGUUGAGUGGACAUAAAAGAAUAGGCACUAAGUAGGGAAGAGCAUAUCUCGGUUUAAAUCGAGAAAUCGAUCCGAAUCGACUGAUUUCAGUUUAGGAGGUC
rnacentral:lncRNA from 1 species